rnacentral:misc_RNA from 1 species
AUUCAUCAUAACCUUUGUUUCAUGCCCAGUGAAAAUGACAGCCCCCACAAUGUACUGGGUGUUUCUCAGACUGCAGCCCCGUAAAAGAAGUUGGUUUGGACUAAGUGGUAAGGUUUGCUUUUGAAUUAUCAGAUUGCCAGUGAAUGUGUACAAUGAGUUAUUAGGUUGCUCACAUUGUAACUCACCUCUGAAUGUAGAUAUUUUCUCAGGAGACACAUAAUCCCAGGUCCUCUCCAGUGCUUUUCUGAUCUUUAAAUUAGUUUCACCAUCCAAAUUUGCCGUCUCAAUGUAGCAGACCCCAUCUGGGUUUGUGCUAGCAAGAAAAAUAAGAUCUGCCGGAAAGAACUCAUCCUGCUUAACUCUCACGAUAUCUCCAGCCUGCAGCUUCUUCCAAGGUACAUUUACCCAUUUCUGAUCUUGCAACAUGUCUAUGGAGGAAUUAUUAAUAGACUUGUCAUUCUGAAAACGUUUCCAGUCCUCCCAAGCCUCCUUAAUAAGAGAAACGAGAAGCACCAUGCUCAAAGGAAGCACAUUUGUUAUUGGACUUACAGGACUGAUUGGUGUGCAUGACAAAAUUGAGAUCAUAAGGAAGUACAGAUUAGCCACCCGCCUGAACUGU